rnacentral:rRNA from 1 species
CCUACGGGUGGCAGCAGUGAGGAAUAUUGGUCAAUGGGAGAGAUCCUGAACCAGCCAAGCCGCGUGAGGGAAGACGGCCCUAUGGGUUGUAAACCUCUUUUGUCGGAGAACAAAACACGGGACGUGUCCCGGACUGCGUGUAUACGAAGAAAAAGCAUCGGCUAACUCCGUGACAGCAGCCGCGGUAAUACGGAGGAUGCGAGCGUUAUCCGGAUUUAUUGGGUUUAAAGGGUGCGUAGGCGGUCCGUUAAGUCAGCGGGAAAAUUGCGGGGCUCAACCCCGUCGAGCCGUUGAAACUGGCAGACUUGAGUUGGCGAGAAGUACGCGGAAUGUGCGGUGUAGCGGUGAAAUGCAUAGAUAUCGCGCAGAACUCCGAUUGCGAAGGCAGCGUACCGGCGCCAGACUGACGCUGAGGCACGAAAGCGUGGGGAUCGAACAGGAUUAGAUACCCCGGUAGUC